ACGCCAGCGCAGAGCCGUGUCCGCCAAGGAUUCCGCUUCGGUGGGUGCCAGCCCGGCCCCCCCACCGCCUCUCCACGACAAUAAAUAGCGCCCACGGGACGACCUCUUCUCCAUCGCGAUCUGGUUUUCCUCUCGUCCGUGGUCGGCGCCCUUGGCCCAGGCCUCGUCGCGUUCUCGUUUUCUGUUCCUCCUCUUCUCCGUUUCGAUUUUGAGUCGAGUCGAGUCGGUUUCUUCUUCUCCGCUUGAUUUGAUUUCGUGUCGCCGCUUUUUGCCCUUCCGUGCUUCGCAGAUUCCUUGGGCGGUCGCGUUCGCCUGCGUUAGACGAGGGGAGCGAUCGAUCCGAGUUCGAUCGGAUCGUCGAGUUGUUCGGUUUGCGGUCUAGUUCUCCUGUGAUCCGAUUCGCCUGUUUCCUUUCCGAUCCUCGUGUUUCGUGUUCGCCUUCUCAGCGUGUGGGUUGCAGGGUUGGAUCCAAUUGGGAGUUGGAGUUCGUCAUGGCGUCGUGUGGCAAGGGGAUCAGGCCGCGGAGGUUCAGGCAGGUCAGUCUCUCGUCGGAUCCGGUCGUUCCAUUGGCUUUGUCACUUGGAUUCGAUGGUUUCAGACUCGAAUGGUCCCCUCCUGUGAUCUCUCAUCCUUGAGCGCUGGCCUUACAUAUUGAAUCUUGAAUCGUCCGUUAUUACUCGGUAGACGAGGUGGUCUCGAAACCCUGGGUUGAUUUCGUAUUCUUACCGCUGAUCUCUGUUUUGGUAUGUGUAUGUCGCCCUUUAGAUGCAGAAGGAAUUGUGAGUACUCACCAAGGAGUGACGAGUUGAAGGGUGGAGGUUUGCUUUUGGUUUAUUGGUUGUUUUUUAUAUGUUCUGGUUCACUGUUGAUUAGGAUAUUUGAAGGUUGGAUCAGAAACUUGACCGACUUGAUUGGAAUUGUUAUGGGCCAGAUCUGCCAAGGCAGCAGGCGUGGAAUUUUGGAGGUAGAUUGAGGCGCUAGACCGGAGGUCGUAGCAACGGAAGAACAAAAUCGUUUGGAUAUCUCUACCUCUUUGUGAUUUAUUGGUCUGCGCAGUUAAAUUUCUGCCCACUGCAAUUCUGAUUUUUGGGCUGUUGGUUCUUCUCCAGCAAUUGGAAUGUAUGGAUUGCCCACGAGUUCUUCUGCUCCAGAUAUUGGAAUUGGACCAUGCAAAUUCUCGCAGAUAUCAUAACUACAGAGACAGGACUUGUCGCAGCUGAUAUUAGCAAAUUGCUGUCAUCAUCUGAGCAGGCUUUAUCCCUAUCCCUGCAUUAUUUGAUGCAUGUUUCUGUUGUUUAAGGGUUUCCUCUGUCAAAUUGAUAGAUACCGUAGAAUGGUCUCACGCUCAUUGCAGAUCUCUAGGUGAUACUUGCACAAGAGCUACCUGAUGCCGAGUGAAAUAUCUGUGAAGUACUUCAAAUUUACCACCUUUCAUCUAUUGUGUAUUAUGAUGUUUGAGCGGCAUCCACAGUAGAUGAUGAUCACAGGAUGAUUUCUUGGAUCCUUGCAGGUUACUAGCUGAUAUUUUUGCCAAAGCAAUCUGAUGCCAGCGGAAAUAUGUUUGCAGUAAUUCAAAACUAGGGCGAUCCUAAUGCCGAGUGAACCUGUUGCCAGUACUUCUAACCUCUUCCAAUCCUUAAUUACUCGCACAACAUGAUUUUAUAUGAAACUGUUGCUGAGUUAAAAAAUCGAAUAUGCAGUGGUAGAAGAUGUCAAUCAUGUUUUGGGCUUCAAGCUAGAUGGGGAAUUUUGGAACUGCAAAAACUUUGUGCUCUCCUUUUAUGCUUUGACUCUGUAAACUUGUUUGUCCCUUGGUACUUUUCUGCGCUGAGCUUCGAUUCUCGUUUCGAUGUGUGUUUCUUGUUGGCCUUCCAUCCUGUGGGUUGCAGGAUUGGAUCCAAUAGGGACUCGGAGCUCUUGGUGGCAUCGUGUGGCAGGGAGGUCGAGUCAGGUUAGUACCGUGGAUCCGGCCGUUCGAUUGGUUCCCGUCUCUUGGAUUUGGUGGUUUCAGCAAUUUGUUCUACCUUCUAGCUUCGUAUUAUCGAGCCAGGCCUCUCCAGUGGCUAAAUCAUGGGUCAUCACCCGAAGCACGAGUGGACUCGAGACCGGUGAUCUCGCGUGUGGUAUUUGUUUAUCCUUUAGAUACUGUAAAUGAAUAGAAAGGAGUUCAGUUUUCUGCCCGUUACAUUUCUGAUUUGAUUGCUGGUUCUUCUCCAGCACGAUUAUUGGAUCUUAUGGAUUGCCGAUGAGUUCCUUCCACAUCAAUUGGAUUUGCCACGCCUUGUUUGUUAAUUAACAACAUCAAUUGGAUUUGCCGCGCCUUGUUUGUUAAUUAACAACAAUCUUGUUAACCUUCUUUGAGACGCAACUAAUGUUCCUCAUAGGCUAUCGUUCGUUCUUGUUAGUAAUUCUUGAUUCUCGCAGAUAUCAUCAACUACAGAGAGAACUCAGCUGAUAUUGCUGUCAUCAUCUGAUCAGGCUUUAUCCCUAUCUCCUGCAUUAUUUGAUCCAUGUUUGGCUGUUUAAGAGCUUCUGAACAAGUAGUUACCAUAGAAUGGUGUCGUCUUCACUGCAGGUCACUAGCUGAUACUUCUUUUUUGGGUUGGAGAAAAUGCACUGUGAUAUUUGCGCAAGAGUAAUCUGACGCCAAGGUGAAAUCUUUCUGCAUUUCUUUAAACCUACCACCUUUUCUAAUUCAUAAUUAACAGUUUGAGCGGUUUCUACCUCAAAAGUAGAUAAUGACCGUAGAAUGGUCUUUUGAUCAUUGCAUGUCACUAGCUGGUAUUUUUGUAGGACCAGUCCAAUGCUGAGUGAAAUUUAUUUGCAGUAACCUCUUCCUAUUCAUUACUUAGAUAUUAAUGUGGGAGAUUAUGAAUUGUUAAUGAAUUAAAUAUCUGGCUGUUCAUCUUUAUUUACACAACAUGAUUUUAUAUGAAAUUGUUGCUGGGUUAAAAAUUCGGAUGUUUUGGUUGAUCUGCAUUGGUAGAAGAUAUCAAUCAUGUUUUCUAGCUUCAAGCUAGAUGGGGAAUUUUAGAACUUCUAAAACUACACCCACAAUUUGGUUAUAAUUUUUAGUUAUAAGCAUAUUUCUGUCUUGUCAUGCUUGAGUGUUUCAUGCACGUAGCUUUGAUUUCGGUGUUUCUUUUCUGUGUUGCAGAUCUUUUAUCUCAUCUCAUUGGUAGUUGAUCUGAUUUGGGUGUAAUGUCCGGUUUGGAAUCUCUAUAUGUGGUUUGAUUUGCUUCAGCUACUUUCAAUCUUCAUGUUCCAUGCUCAUCUUAUCCAUAUGUUUGUUGCGGGACUUGUUUGGCAUCUGAGCUCCCUAUGGCAGAACCUUGCACUGGAAAUGGGGCAGGUCAGUGCCUAGUGCAACGUCCUUUUGGUUAAUUUGACUCGUUACUUGGAUUCAGUGAGCCCAGAUCUAAAUGGUUCGCCUGCAAUAUUCUGCCUUCAUGUUCCUAAGCUUGCUCCUCCAAUGGAUAGUGAAGGGUUAUAUUAUCCCCACGAGGUUUGAGACCCUGGAUUUAUUCUUAGUCAAGCUGAUUUCAGUUGUGUGUUUGUGUCCUUUAGAUACAUGAGAAGAUGUUUGUUAUCGAGAUUGAGCAGGGUAGAGGUUUGGUUAUGGGUGAUACCAGUAUGAAGUUUCCUGCUUUGUUAUCAGUAGCUGUGAGCUCUGAUUUGAAUCAUGUUCAGAUCUGCAUAGGAAGCUUUGACUCGAGUGGAGAUUACAGAUUGGUAAAUUAUGACACUUUGCUUGGAUAUACUCUAGCCUCUCACUUCUGAUUUAUUGGCCUGCACAGUUCAAUUUCUGUCUGCUGAUCUGUUGUGUCUUCUGUUCUCCAGAACUGAAAACAGAACUGAAAUUAUAUGGAUGCCGGGGAAUUCAUUUGUGUUGCAGCAUUUAAUAAGGGGGGCUACAAGUUUGUCCAUUUGAUUAACAAUAUUCUCCAGUUAUUUUCUGCUACAAGUAACUCUUUGAAUUCUUUCCUCUAAAAGAACUCUUUGAAUUCUAACAGAUACAGCACAUAGAGAUUAGAUAAGAAUUUCCUAUCAAUGGUGGUGUAUUUUGUGUGCCUGACUUCUCUUAAGCAAGGGCCUCUCCCACUCAUCAUUUCACCUUAAAUUUAAGUAGCUUUACCCCAAAGUAAGCUGGAAUCAUAGAAUGCCUCCUGGUCACUGCAGGUUUCUCAUUGACGAUUUAGCAAGAUCAAUAUGUUGCUGAGCGUAAUCUGUUCUCUUAUUUUUCAAAUUGCACUGCCUUGUUUCACUUGUUGCUAGUCAGAUAAAUUGUGAAAACUUGAUAUUGGUGGUGCAACACUUGAAUAUUUGGAUUGAUCUGCAGAUGUAGGAGGCUCUAAAGCUGUUCGGAAGCUAUGUGCUAGUUUGGUGAUUCAAAGCUACAAAAACACGCUAUCAUCUUCCUAGAGUUUGCACCAACUAUUGUUCUGAUUCUUGACUAGAUUGUCACAUUACUUCUCAGUCCACUUAUGUCUGAUUUUAGUUGAUGACUGCUUGGUUGGUUUCCAGUUAUUGCAAGUACGGAUGCUGAGCUGUUCUGAUUUUGGGGCAUCUUAUAAGAUUCUUCCUUCUACCCAGAGUUUCCACUUACUCUUGUUCCUGAUUACCUUUUGUUCUGGGUUCACUUGUCCGAUUUUACUUGAUGGCUGUUUGGUUGGUUUCCAGCAGUUGGAGCUGAAGGUGGAUGGAUGCUGAGACAUUCUGAGUUCUGGGCGUUUUCAUCUUGUGGAUUCUACCUUCCCUGUGAACAAUAAUCGUUUCACAUGUUUCUUUUGAUCUGUGGUUUAGAAGCAGUACAUAGCCUACAAUGUUUUGGUGUUCUCUGUGUAGUGCAAAAAAAUUGCAUUAUCAUGCUCAGGCCUCAUCUGUUGCUGCAGGUUUUCACUGUUUGAGUUGUUCCCAGAAAGAAAGUAAUGAUCUCUCGCUCGCUGUUGGUUGCUAUUGAUUCUGCAAGAUCACUCUGAAGCUGAGCAGAAUAUGUUUGCAAACAACACCUAAUUUCUCUACCUUUUCAACCUCUAGUUCUUUAUUGCGUUGCAUUUCUUUGGUUGGUGCCUUUAGCUUUUUGCUUAUUAGUGCGAGACAUUGCUUUCAGUUGUCCAUUUGAUGAAUUAUGAUAAAAGCUUCGGUUGUCAUGCUGGCAAUUGGAAUGUUCAUUGAUUUCUAGAUUGUUCAUUCACUAGUGUUCUGGCACUUGGAUUGUUCUCCAAAGUUUUAUCUACAUGAAUUAUGAACUAGUCUGCUUGCUAUCUGUAAAUGAAGUCUACUCUUUUGUUUGUUCCUCUGACUUUCUACUUAGCAAUUGUUUGUUCUUCUGGCUUUCUAGUUUGUAACUUUGUACUCUGUUCUACUCCAUGCAUUGCACUUACGUGUGCAGAGUUUGACUUCUGUAGCCCGAACAGAGAGGAUGGCAACACAUGACUGGGUUGUAGGGUGAGUUUUUGCUGGUUUUGUUAAAUUGAACAUGUUGUGGUUGGGUAACCAUUUUCGAAUUAGGUAUUAUGAGCAACUAAAUUCAUAUAAAGUUCGAGCAAUGGCUGCCUGGCUGGAGAGCUUAAAACGGGAUAGUUCUCUCAUCGCUUGCGUGAUUAGCAACCUACAUAACUCCGAUUUAGGUUUGUUCAGAAAAAGAUUAUGUUUGCUUAUAAUAAUAUUAAUUUCCUUGCUUUGUCUUUACUGCACACUUUCUCAUCCUUAUUUUAUGCAGAUUACUGACUAGGGUAUUCAGCUUGGAUUCUAUCUUAUAACAUGUAUCGCUAACACUAGAAACUUUCCUUUUAUUUAUAUUCUAUUGAGAUGACAAGGGAGAAAAGGUGGAUCUCUAAUUGGUGUUUGCAUGAUCUUGUCUUGACCAUCCCUCUUUUUGGGUUUCUGGUUCUACAUUUGUUUGAAUACCAUCUGCUGCAAUCUCAUUUCAAUAUUUCAUCUAUUCUGGUUGUGGUUAAUACCAAGAAAAGUUAAUGUUCUAUUUAUUGCCAUCAAAAAAGAAAAUUUAUCAAGGUAACAUGCCAUUUAGCAGGAUAAUUCACCUUUUAGCCAGUUCGUGUGUCAUCUUGGUGUUGCAAUUCCUGGUUUUCAAGUUGGUUGAAAUCUUCAUAAGUGAAAUUGUGGCAAGCUUGUACUAUCUGCCUUUGGGUGGAAGUGGAUCUGGAGUCUUCUGUUUGUCUGCUGUAGUGCUGUUUGAAAAACAUCGUGUUGGGUUGAAUAGUUCAUUUCAGUGACAGAACAAGAUGUCAAUCUGGUAACGUUAAGGAGGGAACCACUGGAUCUCAGAAUUUUUUUCGAAAAUGUACUGGACCUCGAAUUUGGCAGCAUAGAUUGAAUUCUUACUAGCUGCAUUGCUGUUGCAUUUGUGUUGCAAUUAAGUCAUCCAGAUUAUUCAGGCUAUAUGUGCAGUGUUUGGGGUCAUUGAAGUGGAAGAUCCCAUGAUUGGAAUGUAUAGCAAAAGGCUUAUGGCUGAAGUUUCUGUGCAAGCUCUGCAGUAACUAAACUGAGCUUGCUCUCCUGAUCUUUUUGAUUUGUGAAUUUGAAGCAUGUGAUGUCAUUUGUGUGACUGUUCCACAGAUUGUCGGUAUUUGCUCAGCUUGCAUGAAGCUAGUGGUCUUUCGGUGCAGCUUUCGUUAACUGUGUUUUCACACUUAAUUGUUUUGAUUAGUGUUCCUGAAGCUCAUCUGUAUAACAUCAUACAAAUUAGAAUGCCUCAACUUGCAUGAGGUUAGGAUGGCGAAAGCAGCGAAGCCCUGAGCUCCUGACUAGUAAUUUUGGUUGCAUGUAUCUGCACUGAUUGAUUGUGGCUGAGAAAUGAGUUUUUCUUUUAAUUAGCCAAGGCGGAUUACUGUUAUAAUUUGGAUUCUUGUUAUCAAAUAAUUUCUGGAGUUUGGGAGGACACUGGUAUACUUCGCCGCCUGCAAUUAUCUGCUCUGUCAGCUGUGGACUGUUUUUCUAUGAGUACUCAGUAGUCAUGCAUCUCCUAUUGUCUUGCUACCUUUUUGUGAUAUAUUGGAUCUUUCAACUGUACAAAAUAAUUGUUGCAUCAUUAUUUGGUACAUAUGGUCUUCUUUGCUAAACUAUAUAAAGUUGGUGAAAUUGGAUGGCAUUGGAUUCCUAGUUAUUAAACCAUGCGUUAAAAGACAUUGUUGUAUAUGUUCUUUUUGUUCGUUAGACUAUUUUCAUGAGCAGUGAAAAGCUGUUUGGUUCACUUAUGUGACAAAUCGAAUUCUAGGUUCGCUGAUUGUGAAGAUGGCUUUAUGGGUUAGUGCAGACUUCCGAUCUAGCCUCCUGACUAUUUUGGUUAUAUGGAUCUACCGAGGUACAUUAGACUCCAGAUUCACUGAUGGGUAAUAACCCAGAACUGGAAGCUUAAUCCUUUGGACGCUGCACUUCCUGAAACUCUUAAUGUUCUCUUUCCUGUGGCAAGUUCUGAUUUGGAUUGUUGGUCAUGGAAUUGAUUUUUCAUAAGCUGGUUCUUGUGGCAAUGGAGCUUAUUUGGUGCGGAUAUGGAUUUCAAAAUCUUCAAUUGCAUUGUCCUAACUAGCUGGGGAACUUCGCUUUCAAUUUCAUUGAAAAAGGAUUAAAAUAAGCAGAUGCCCAUUUGAUAACUGGUGAUGGUUGCAUAUUCUCAAACCUUCAAUUGAACAAGAAUUCGAGUUCGCUGCUGAUGGUGCCUGCCGCACUGGCUGUUUGCUUUAUACUCCGGAGCGCAGUUGGCUAAAGCAGGACUAAUUCUUUUGUUCACAUAUUUGUGCCAACAAAACGUAAAAUUAUGGACUAUAUGAAAACUAACCCACGAAGGAACCAUGAUUGUCCUAUUGGUGUCGAUCUUCCUUGCUCAUAGCGUGUUCUUAUUUUCAAACCUAGAGCUAGCAAUAGAUUAAUUUAAUUCCUAUCAGGUCUCAGAAGCUAUCUUGCUUUUUUCGUACUAAAAAAAUGAUCUGUUUGCAUUUUUAAUCUGUUCUGAUUUGUGGUUUGUUUGUUUGUUGUUUAACACUGCCUUUGCCGGUCCCAAGCCCGGAUGAGAAAAUGUGGAGGGAACUGCAAAUAUCUCUAUUCUAUGAUUAGCUUUUAGAAAUACCAUGGUCUGAGUUCACUCACAAAAUAUGUGGUUUAGUUUAAUCGUUGAAGUGUGUAAAGAUAGUAAAGGUGAGCUAUAGUUGAUUAAAUAUUUAUCUUUAAUAAAUUAAGCAAGCUGAACAGGGUAACAAUAUAUGAAAAAUAUGAUUAAAUUUAAUAAUACCAUAACGAUCGUAUGCUAUUAUUCGCUUUCUAUGUUCCAUCAUAGUAGUAUUAAUCAAAGUAGUAUUAAAGAUUUCCAUGUAACAUAAGAAAAAUAUAUUCAUAUGAAUGUUUAUGGCAUGCUCUCGCUCUUACUCUUUUUAGGCAACAUAAGUGUAUACGUUGUAUCUCUUCACAGGCAAGGUAUGACGUUAUACUGGUACGAUUGUGACUAUAAAACAGUAAAAAACUUCUAAUGUAAGGUGGUAUGCUAUGCUGCAUAUAUAGCUAACAACAUAAUUUCUAAAAUGUAGAUAAGUAAACUUUCAACAUAAUCAAAAGGCAGCAAGUUUAUGCAUAAUCAAAAGGUACAACUUUCAACAUAGACAUGUACAUCAUGAUUCACAUAUGAGAAAUAUAAACAACUGCAGGAGAAAAGAUCUAACCCACUUCUUUUAUCUCUUAAGUCGGGAAAAAUCAUCCAAGUAAGACAUUUCAUUUAAUAAAUUAAUUAGUAUAAAAAUUAAAAAAUAGAGGUAAUCAAAUGGAUGAAUUAGCAACAAAACACCGUAACAACAAAAAUAAAAGGAGACAUGCUCCUACAUCCGCAAACACGACUAGGAAAGACAUCCAAGUGAUAACUAACUCCUACAUGAUCAAAAACCUAAGAACAAGAUAUCGAUGCACAGACUAACCCUCAUCGGACUAACCAAAUGGACUAGUCCAACUCCAACAAAAAUUAUCAAUGAGGCCUAUGACUUUCAUUAUAACUAUACGAUCGAAUUCACACCUGUAAGACCUCAACUUUCAAUUUAGGUAAAUGCACGCAAUAGAUCGACCAAAUCACUGACCCGAUACAAGAACGACCGAUCCCAACUAUCUACAAAUAUCUAAGGGCUACAAAGAUACCACCUUUGAAGCGAGAUCACAAAUUAACGGCAUAAUCCGACAAACUCACGAAAUUCAUCUUUCUCCCUUCUUCUUCUUCUUCCUCCUUUCUCCUCCUCUUCUUUCCUCCUCCUCUUCUUCUUUCUUUCUUCUUUCUUUCCUUCUUCCUUUCGGCCAGCACCUCCUUGCUCAGGCCCCUCCCCUGCCGAUGGCCUCCACAAGGUAGCUAGGGAAGCUCGACACAAUGGGGGCUAGGGUGGCUGCGCACGGUGAUCGGCUAGUGUUGGGCGUGGCGAGGCGGUAAGUCCGGCCAGGGCGGCAGCGGUGGGCCAGCAGGAGGCGACUGGAGGCGAUGGGCGGGCUAACGGGAGGUGGCGAUGGGCCGAGAUAGGGGUGGUGCUAGGGUUGGGAGCCAGGUGAGUGCGUGUGGGAUCGGGUGGUGAUGAUCCCACCCGAUGUUAUAUUUUUAUCCAACGGUUAUAUUUAUUGGAUUCGUUAUGGAAUCAUCUUAACGAGAUCUACGCAUCUGCGGUCUCCGAUCGUCCAUCUGAGCAUCAGUUCAAAAGGUCAAAUUUUGUACUCCUUGUGGGUCCCGCAUUCAACAUAUGAACUUUGGUCAUUUUCAGGCAUUACAGUAUUGCCCUUUCAAGAAGCUAUUUCCUACUCAUUUCUUUUUCAACUCCAGGGUUCUAUUUUCAGUAUUUCAGACUUCCAGUCGAGGGAACUCAAGAUGUCAAGAUACAGACCCAGUGGCAAGAGAGAAAGUCCAUAUGACAUCACGCCUCCUCUUGGGACUUGGCUGGUGGUAAUUGCUUUUUGUGAUUGUGCGGCUGUUACUUGAGCUGAAUAAGUUUUGAAUGCAUGAUUAGCAGCUGUUUGGAUGCAUCAAUGUAUUCAUAACGAACUUGUCGAACCGAGCAUUGUUAGCUCAUCCUGUUUCUUGAAGGCAUUGAUAUGCUUUAUAAAAAAAUCCACACUUGUUAGAUGAAAGCUAUU